rnacentral:rRNA from 1 species
AUGAACGCUGGCGGCGUGCCUAAUACAUGCAAGUCGAGCGAACAGACGAGGAGCUUGCUCCUCUGACGUUAGCGGCGGACGGGUGAGUAACACGUGGAUAACCUACCUAUAAGACUGGGAUAACUUCGGGAAACCGGAGCUAAUACCGGAUAAUAUAUUGAACCGCAUGGUUCAAUAGUGAAAGACGGUUUUGCUGUCACUUAUAGAUGGAUCCGCGCCGCAUUAGCUAGUUGGUAAGGUAACGGCUUACCAAGGCAACGAUGCGUAGCCGACCUGAGAGGGUGAUCGGCCACACUGGAACUGAGACACGGUCCAGACUCCUACGGGAGGCAGCAGUAGGGAAUCUUCCGCAAUGGGCGAAAGCCUGACGGAGCAACGCCGCGUGAGUGAUGAAGGUCUUCGGAUCGUAAAGCUCUGUUAUUAGGGAAGAACAAAUGUGUAAUUAACUAUGCACGUCUUGACGGUACCUAAUCAGAAAGCCACGGCUAACUUCGUG